CUCUGCAGGCGGCGGUGGAAACUGUGAACACAAAGUUUAGUUUUAUCUGCGUUUGACUGACGGCUGAAGAUGAACGCAGCAGUAACACGGCGGCACACCGGCUCUUUUCUACCGGAAAUCAUCACCAAGAGCAGCAAACGAAGGAGAAGGAUGAAUGAGCAGAAGGAGUCUCUCCAAACUGGACCAGAGAAGUCGGCUCAGAUCCUCUCCAGGGCAGAGAUUGCAUGGUGAGUUC